UACGGAAGGCAGCAGUGGGGAAUAUUGCACAAUGGGCGCAAGCCUGAUGCAGCCAUGCCGCGUGUAUGAAGAAGGCCUUCGGGUUGUAAAGUACUUUCAGCGGGGAGGAAGGCGAUGCGGUUAAUAACCGCGUCGAUUGACGUUACCCGCAGAAGAAGCACCGGCUAACUCCGUGCCAGCAGCCGCGGUAAUACGGAGGGUGCAAGCGUUAAUCGGAAUUACUGGGCGUUAAAGCGCACGCAGGCGGUCUGUUAAGUCAGAUGUGAAAUCCCCGGGCUUAACCUGGGAACUGCAUUUUGAAACUGGCAGGCUUGAGUCUUGUAGAGGGGGUAGAAUUCCAGGUGUAGCGGUGAAAUGCGUAGAGAUCUGGAGGAAUACCGGUGGCGAAGGCGGCCCCUGGGACAAAGCUGACGCUCAGGUGCGAAAGCGUGGGGAGCAAACGAGGAUUAGGAUACCCGGU
rnacentral:rRNA from 1 species